ensembl:lncRNA
GUCUUAGUUGUGGCAUGUGGGAUCUAGUUCUCUGACCAGAGAUUGAACCUGAUCCCCUGCACUGGGAGUUUGUAAUCUUAGCCACUGGACUACCAGAGAAGUCCCUAUUUUCGUUUUUUUUUUGGUUUUUUAAAAAAGUAUUAUUAUUGUCGCCACCCUAGUGGGUUUGAAGUGACAUCUCAUUGUGGUUUUUGAUUUCCCUUUCCCUCAUGAGGAAGCCCACUACAUUCCUUAUUUUUUUUGGGGGGGCUGUGUUGGGUCUUCGCCCUGGUGCGUGGACUUUCUCGAGUUGCAGUGCCAGGGCUUCUCACUGGGGUGCACAGGCUCUCUAGUUGGGGGUGUGGGCUUAGUUGCUCUGCUGCAGGUGGGAUAUUAGCUCCCCAGCCAGGACUUGAACCCCAUUGCCUGCAUUGGAAGGUGGAUUCUUCACCACUGGACUACGAGGGCAGUCCCACGACAGCCCUAUUUUGAUUCUGGGCAGAGACUUUACUAUCCUGAAGAAUGAGAAAGAGGGAAAUAGCCUGAGCUGCUGAAUCAGCCCCAGAAACUCUUGUUAAAGGAACAGUAAAUGUGCUCAGAGCAGUAUUACUUCUGGCCAGAAGAAUCCCCAGGAGAGCCAAGUUCAUGCUCUCAAUGGUAAGGGAUAAGUUCAAUGGUAUUAGUGUUCCGAGGCAGCUGUAGUUAAUUACCACAACUUUAGUGGCUUAAAGCAACACACAUUUACUCUCCUAUAGUUCUGGAGGGCAGAAACUGGAAAUGAGUCUUGUGGGGCUAAAAUCCAGGUGUCUCCGGGCGGGUUCCUCCAGAAGGCUCCAUGGAGAAUCUGUUUCUUGCCUCUUGCAGCUUCUAGAGGCUGUCUGCAUCUCUUGGCAGCAUCAGUCUAACCUCUGCAGCCCUUCUCACUUGGCCUUCUCCCUUUUAUAAGGAGCCAGGGAUUACACUGGGCCCACCCAGAUAAUCCAGGAUCAUCUCCCCAGCUAAGAUCCUUAGCUUGAUCACACCUGCAAAGUCCUUUUUUCAUCCUAUGGAAACACCAAGGCACACAGCGGUUAGUGAUUUCUCACCCUGAAAGCGGCCAAGCCAGGACCCAGCCCAGAUUUCUGGCACAGGCCCACACUGUAACCACCUGUAAUCACCCCGUCGGUAAUGAGCCCUUUGAAGAAAGGUGAAUCACUUACCUUGGCCGUGCCUCAGUUUUCCUCACUUGCCAAGUUGGACUCUAAUAACCCUGCCCCAUUGACUCACCAGAAGUGAUGAG